rnacentral:piRNA from 1 species
UGCUACAAGAACGAGGUGCAGGU